rnacentral:pre_miRNA from 1 species
CCCGAAAACGUCCUCGAAGUAACGGCACGCGCCAUCACUUACUACCUGGACGUCUCGGCGGA